AGCUCCUCCUGUUCCUAUAGUAAUGCUUCCAAGGAUGUGAAAGCUUUGAGAUGCUGCAGAAUAACAAAGCAGGCUUCUUGCUAUGUGGUUCUAGGGUGCAAAUCUAGGAGAAGUCAAGAACUUCAGAGAUUUGAGAAGGUGAUUGAAUUUUCACCAGCAAAGGAAAACAGAGAAGAUGCAUGAUGUUUUGAUGCCUCAAAGGCUGCAGUGCUGCGAAGAGUUACUUCUUUGUCAAAGAGAGGUAGUCACUAGUUCUAUGAUGAUUUGUCUAACUGUGAAAGGACUGAGAAUAUGUAAUGGAUCAAGACAGGAGAGGCAAGAUUGCUCCAUUUAAAAUACUGUCCUCAAUAAAGACAUCCUCAUUGCUCUAAAUAGUGAGCUUUCUAUGUGCAUUAGGUUUGAAUCUUUUCUACUGAAAGGUGUCAAAUGAAGCAAUGUUUCAACAGGAGAAAAAUCUGUCCUAUUCUAUGAAUGUCUAUGGGUUUGCAUAAAGAAAAACCUGAGGGCAGAGUUGAUAUAAAAUGGUGAAAAAGUGAUGAAAAAUCUGUUUUCCUGUUCAGUGUUUUUAAGAAGUAUUUAUAAGAACAGAUGGUGGGCAACAGCAGAACAUGUUCACUUUUAUCAAGACAUUUGGCUGACAAGCACAGACUGAAAUGCAUUUCUUUCCUUCUUGACUUAAUAAUUUUAAUUAGAGGCAAAAGGUGUGGCAAUCUCAUUGUCUGGAGGCGUAUGUGCAAUAUUGUCUUGGUUGGGCAGGACCGGGUGGGAGAGAAUAUCACUGCCUCUAAUGAAGGGUGGUGCAUAUCUGUGCAAUCUCUAUUUUUUUUUAUUGUCUGGUAAUCUAAAAAAUGCAAAUUCUGAAUCUGCUAUUGCACAAUGCACAUAGAGAUACACUGAGGCUAUGCUUUCAGUUAGAGAACAAAAACAUGACUACAAAAUGUGUGCAAGCAAUACCACACCACUGGAGAAGAAAGGCUUUGAAGAAAUAGUGGGACAUAUAUUUAUUAUCUUGAGGGGGAAAUUUCAAAGCUACCUAUGUAACUUAGAGGUCUCUGGAACUCCUUCACUAUUUAAAUACUUUGAAAAUCUCAUUUAUUAUCUAGUCAUUUUGAACGUCAUAUACUCUCUCCCUAAGAACAUCAAUGUGUUCGGGAAAUUGUAAUUAAGAAUCAUAAUCUCUAAUCAGGUUUAAUGGUGUUUUUUUCAUUUACCCUACUUCUCUCUGGUCACAUUUAGUUUUUCACAGAACUGCUUGCAUGGGUGAUGCUGUCUUUUGUCCUUUACCAG